UUACCUUGUUGCUUCGGCGAGCCUGCCUUUUGGCUGCCGGGGGACGUCAGUCCCCGGGUCCGUGCUCGCCGGAGACACCUUAGAACUCUGUCUGAAGAUUGUAGUCUGAGAUUAAAUAUAAAUUAUUUAAAACUUUCAACAACGGAUCUCUUGGUUCCGGCAUCGAUGAAGAACGCAGCGAAAUGCGAUACGUAAUGUGAAUUGCAGAAUUCAGUGAAUCAUCGAGUCUUUGAACGCACAUUGCGCCCUCUGGUAUUCCGGAGGGCAUGCCUGUCCGAGCGUCAUUGCUGCCCUCAAGCACGGCUUGUGUGUUGGGCCCCGUCCUCCUUCCGGGGGACGGGUCCGAAAGGCAGCGGCGGCACCGCGUCCGGUCCUCAAGCGUAUGGGGCUUUGUCACUCGCUUUGUAGGCCUGGCCGGCGCUUGCCGAUCAACCAAACUUUUUAUCAGGUUGACCUCGGAUCAGGUAGGGAUACCCGCUGAACUUAAGCAUAUCAAAAC
rnacentral:rRNA from 1 species